GUGUGAAAAAGUGGGUAGGUUGGCUGGUCAGGGAAAACAUUGAGGAAAAGGAUCUGGAGAAAAAGGACCUUGAGGAGGUAGGGCAGCCUCUUCUGUUGUCUUCUCACCUUGAGUACAAGGACCCAUUUGGAAAUGGAAGUGUCAUUCUUCAUCAGCUCCGAGCCAAGGUUUGGAAGAUGCACAACAAGCUUACUUUGUGUACACCGGGACAAUGAGCUGACAGCACAUUAUUACUUUUCCUUUUGGAUGCCUGAUGGAGAAGAAAAUUCAGGACGUGUGUAGAGCAGUGUCACUAACAGUACCAUCCACCAGGAUCUCUACCAGCACUGCAGGAUCAUGAAAUGUUUCUUUGCCUACCUAGUGGGAGUUUCAAGCCCACUUCCAAGUAUUAAUCCCUUCAGAUAAAGUGAAUGGGCAGGUUAGAAAGAGGUAACUAACCACCAAACAAAAUGAAAUUGACUGAAACAGUUCAUAUCUUUACCCAAUCUGUUAUGCUUUAAACACUGCCUUUGAUGACAAGGACAUGAUCAAUGGACAGAUCUCUGACAUAGUCCAGGAACAGAGAUGUUUAAAUCAUAUACAGAAAAGGCUGGAAAGUACUGAUUAAUCCUCCUGAGCACACACACACAUGAAAAAAAAAAAAGUCAAGAGACAGAAGACUGUUGUUUGUGUUUUAAAGAUGCAUAUACCAGGAAGCCUGAUUUU